AUUCCCGUUUUCUCUCUUUUGAUAAUCUCUCAUUUGCCAGUGUAUUCAGUUUCCAUUGAGACUAUUUUUCCUUAUAUUAUCUCAAAUCGGGAACUGAACAAUGUAGAAUAAAAAUGCUCUAAAAUAUGGGGCUAUAACGUUUUCUUUCUAACCUUUUUGUCACUUGGAUGGAACAUGUGAACACUAAUGAAUCAUCGGGAACUUUCCAAUAUGUCCUGCGGCUGUGGGACCUGACUAGGAGGAAGAUUUUCCAAAUGGCACACAGACAAAACACAGUUCAGGUGUAUUCACUCACUGCCUAAAUCCUUCAUAACAGUGUCAAACAGUUUUCAAAUGGAGGGUGUAUCACCUACGAGGCGGAGAGGGGGGUGAUGCAGAAAUGUGUGGAGGCAUUUUCUGUUUUCACAGCAACUCUAGACUGGUCUUGGCAGCUGGUGGAAGAAAGCCAGGUUGGUAUUUAUCCUGGGAUGCGUGGGACAUUCCAGCUCAACAAAGAACUCUUCUUCCCCAAAGCCCAAUAACAUGCCUGUUGAGAAACUGACUAACUUUGAAAUUGAAUGCUUGAUUAUCCAUUUUCCUGAG